UCAAUCAGAAUGAGACUUUUUGUAUUUUGUUAAUAUCGUUCUUCGAUACCUUUGAAAAAUUGUUUGAUUUCUUGGCGGGAAUAAAUACUCAGUAAACAACGAAUUUUUCACGAGCCUUACAAAAAGAAAUUUUGCGCAGAUUCAAUCUGUCAUCUACCGCAGACAGCGAAAUACAUAUUUAGCACAAAUAAGUACUGUUACUUCACGAGGCUUACCAUAGGCCGUGUCCCUAACCCCCGCUCGUGAUGCUACAAUGUCGUAGUCAGAUCGUCUUAUAGGACCGGCGAAAUAUAUACAAUAUAGCCACAAGUGCAUGGUUAUCAUCAAGCAGGGAGUUCUAGAAACGUAGAUUCGCCAUCGGUCCGUUGUUUCAUUUACACAAAGAAGGUGGCAUACGUGAUCAUAGGCGUGAGCGGUGGCGUGACCUGAGCGUAGUGGGGGUCGUCUCCCACAGAUGACAAAGAAAUAAUCGAAGGGCAGCAGUAUCAUUUGAGGAUUCGAACGUUACAGAUCGGGAGUUGCAGUCGAAUAAUGUCAAAGUCGCUUAGUCAAACGGAAUGCAUGGAGAGGUUCAGACGAAUCAAAUCCAGUGUGUGUUCACGGAUGUGUGCGUUGUUUUUUGUAGCUCGUUUCAAGCUUUUGUGUCGUGGAUUUGCAGAAAAAGGUUAAGUCAAUGGAUAUUUGCACCUAUGCACCAGCGGUUCAUACGAAUGGCAUUAAUUGUAUCAUUUUUCGAAAGAAGAGGAUACCAUUCGUAAAAAAUUUCAAAAGUUGGUAAGUACAAAGUGUUCGUACUCUCCAUACGUGUGUUUUGUAUUUGUCAUUUCCCUACAUUAGAAAAUUAGCAUAUUAACGUCCGGUAUUUCUUCGGUACUCAUAUGAAUAGAGUAUAGAGAUAACAUAUAAAUGUUUUUAACUUAGGAAUCCAUCGGUUCAAAAGUUUCACGUAUUUAAAUUUCGGUAUUUUUAGCCUACUGUAUGGUUUAUUUUAAUGUGAUAACCACUCAGACGGCAAAUAUUAUUAUUUAUUGAAGCGCAUAUUGUGUUCAGAAUAUUGCUUUGCUGCAGAUGAAACACAUGUGCUGCAGCGCAACAAUACGUUUGUAAAACUUUCUAGUACUUUAAAAAUAGUUUUAGAAAACGACAAUUAUCUAUGGGCACGGACAACCUAACAACGCAGAAUUUGUUGGAAUUAGCAUACUUUUUCGUCUUCUUAAUCUCUGUGUGCUUUGUUAUUUUAUUGCCUGCGAAUCAUUAAUUGGAUACUCGAACAUCCCCGUCAUCUCAGCGCCUGUCCCCCACCUGAUAUGAACGGAACGUAAGAGUUGGAAAA